CGCAGAACUGGAUGGCGGCGUAGGGGAUCACGCGGACCAUGGUGGCGGAAUUCCCUCUCCAGAGGCUCCAGAAGCCCUCGUUGAGAGCGUUUCCAUGCCCGGAUCCCAGCCUAAUUCCAGAAUCCGGUGAGGAGAGAGGGAAGCUCUGCACAAGAGCAAGCCAAGGACAAGGAAGGGUUUUUAUAUCCCAUCCUGCCUCAUUUUCCCUCUCUGGGAAGGCACAAUUUGCAUAAAACCCCUUCCCAAACCCAAAUUCAUCUCCUCGGGGCCAGGCAGGAACAUUCGGAUCACGCACACCAGGGCACGGCAAGCAUGGAAAAGCUGGAAUGCACGGGGAAAAAGAGCUCAGAAAGCCACGGGAGGGAUCAGAUCCCAGAUUUAAUUCCCUAUAAAUGCUGCAAAAACUCCUGUGUGCUUGGGGGAAGGAAAGGAGCACUAGAAAUGGUCCUAAAAUCAGAAGGAAUGGUCCCAAAAUCACAAGGAAUGGUCCCAAAAUCACUACAAAACAUCCCAAAUCACUAGAAGAGGUCCCCAAAUCACCAGGAAAGAUCCCAGAUCCACUAAAAAAGGUCCCAAAACCCAAAGCCCUGAGUGAUAUCACAUUUAUUGUCACAUCACAGGUACAGCCUGGAGUUUGAAUCCUCCCAGUAAUCACUAUCCUAAUUAAUCCCAUAAUUAACAACACCAUUCCCAGCCUUUCCCUCCACAUUUUCAUGGAAUGCUGCUGAUAAAUCCCAAAAAAAGUGAAAUAAAGGCCAACAAAAGAAAAAUCAAAGACUUCAGGGCAACAGCAGACAGACAUCACCUCACCUUGGCAGAAAAUCUUUUU